UACGUAGGUGGCAAGCGUUGUCCGGAAUUAUUGGGCGUAAAGCGCGCGCAGGCGGUCCUUUAAGUCUGAUGUGAAAAGCCCACGGCUCAACCGUGGAGGGUCAUUGGAAACUGGGGGGACUUGAGUGCAGAAGAGGAGAGUGGAAUUCCACGUGUAGCGGUGAAAUGCGUAGAGAUGUGGAGGAACACCAGUGGCGAAGGCGGCUCUCUGGACCGAUACUGACGCUGAGGCGCGAAAGCGUGGGAGCAAACAGGAU
rnacentral:rRNA from 1 species